GCGCGAACAGCACGUCGAUGGAAAAGGUCAGCGGCAUGUCCAGGCUCCCCAAGGAGAAAAAAAGUAUGUGAUCCUGCACUCGUCUCCUCUGAUCCUGCACUGAACUCACAUGGUCCUGGUCCUGCACUUGACUCCCGUCA